rnacentral:rRNA from 1 species
UCCGUAGGCGGGCGAUUAAGUCAGAGGUGAAGUCCCACAGCUCAACUGUGGAACUGCCUUUGAUACUGGUUGUCUUGAGUUACAGUGAAGUAGAUAGAAUAUGUAGUGUAGCGGUGAAAUGCAUAGAUAUUACAUAGAAUACCGAUUGCGAAGGCAGUCUACUAACUGUUAACUGACGCUAAGGGACGAAAGCGUGGGGAGCGAACAGGAUUAGAUACCCUGGUAGUCC